CACGUAGGGGGCAAGCGUUGUCCGGAUUUAUUGGGCGUAAAGAGCUCGUAGGCGGCUCAGUAAGUCGGGUGUGAAACCUCCAGGCUCAACCUGGAGACGCCACCCGAUACUGCUGUGGCUUGAGUCCGGUAGGGGAGCGUGGAAUUCCUGGUGUAGCGGUGAAAUGCGCAGAUAUCAGGAAGAACACCCGUGGCGAAGGCGGCUCUCUGGGACGGUACUGACGCUGAGACGCGAAAGCGUGGGGAGCAAACAGG
rnacentral:rRNA from 1 species